ensembl:lncRNA
CUCUCCCAGCCAGGCGGGGGGGAGCGCCAAGUGCAAGCAACCCUGCUUCGGCCAGAGGGAUGGUAUAUAGCCUAGCCUAGCCACGGCCGUGCUAACGGCCAUGAAGGUGAGUGGCUUUGUGGGCAGCCUGCCACUCAGGAGGCAUCCUGUCCCCAGAUGGUCCCUUGCGCCGGUCCCCCCUGGCCCCAUCUUUUGCCGAGUUUCAUCUGCUUUCUGUGGCGAGGGGCUUUCCGUGGUCAGACAGGGUGGCAGCAUCCAGCCCCAUGUUCCGGUCUGCUCCCCCAUGUCUCGCCUCAUGAACGGAGGCGGUGAGGCCCCUUUCCCGAUGCCCGGAUCAACCGAGGCGGUGGAAGGUGCCGCCCAUGCCGCCACUACCUGGCCCCUCGUCAGACACGGCUCUGGCCCCUGCCGGCAAGACCACAGACGGAGGGGCUAACGAGAUUGAGAGGCAGGGGGGAUCUUAAGCCUGUGAGCUGUGAGCUCUGGGCAUCUCAUCCGUGGGCUCACACACUCCUCCAUCUGCAAGCAGAAGCUUAAGGCAGCAAUGAGAGACGGAACCCUUUAAACCUGGGACUGGAUGUGGUUGGGUGAAAACAGGUGUCUUCGUGUUCCGUCUGCCGUCGGAGAGGGGACGAUUUACGAGUCUGUUUAUGAAGACGCUGUCAGAGUUGGCACUGCGGUGCAGGGACGCACGCUGGAUAAGAUGACACUCCCGAAAUAUCUCUCCCCUGAACUGGCUCCAGAGAGUGACAUCCCUCCAUCCGCCGCCCCUCCCUUUACGUGUGGGCCAGGCAGAUCUGACGAGGGAGCGGGAACUGAGACGGACAAAUAAAUAAAAAAAGAGCUGUCCUUAGAAGCUCUGGCUC